rnacentral:rRNA from 1 species
AGUCCCCAUUUCCAGGGGACGUGGAUAACCUCGGGAAACUGAGAUUAAACCGCGAUAGGUCAAGAUUUCUGGAAUGGAUCCUGGCUUAAAUCUACAUGGCCCCUGGAUUGGACUGCGGCCGAUCAGGCUGUUGGUGAGGUAAUGGCCCACCAAACCUAUAACCGGUACGGGCUCUGAGAGGAGAAGCCCGGAGAUGGGCACUGAGACAAGGGCCCAGGCCCUAUGGGGCGCAGCAGGCGCGAAAACUCUGCAAUGGGCGAAAGCCUGACAGGGUUACUCUGAGUGAUUUCCGCUAAGGAGAUCUUUUGGCAGCUCUAAAAAUGGUGCAGAAUAAGGGGUGGGCAAGUCUGGUGUCAGCCGCCGCGGUAAUACCAGCACCCCGAGUGGUCGGGACGAUUAUUGGGCCUAAAGCAUCCGUAGCCGGUUGUGCAAGUCCUCCGUUAAAUCCAGCCGCUCAACGGAUGGGCUGCGGAGGAUACUACAGAACUAGGAGGCGGGAGAGGCAAGCGGUACUUAGUGGGUAGGGGUAAAAUCCUUUGAUCCAUUGAAGA